CCUACGGGUGGCAGCAGUGAGGAAUAUUGGUCAAUGGACGAGAGUCUGAACCAGCCAAGUAGCGUGAAGGAUGACUGCCCUAUGGGUUGUAAACUUCUUUUAUAUGGGAAUAAAAUGUUCCCCGUGUGGGCUUUUGUAUGUACCAUAUGAAUAAGGAUCGGCUAACUCCGUGCCAGCAGCCUCGGUAAUCCGGAGGAUCCGAGCGUUAUCCGGAUUUAUUGGGUUUAAAGGGAGCGUAGGUGGAUUGUUAAGUCAGGUGUGAAAGUUUGCGGCUCAACCGUAAAAUUGCAGUUGAAACUGGCAGGCUGGAGUACAGUAGAGGUGGGCGGAAUUCGUGGUGUAGCGGUGAAAUGCUUAGAGAUCACGAAGAACUCCGAUUGCGAAGGCAGCUCACUGGACUGCAACUGACACUGAGGCUCGAAAGUGUGGGUAUCAAACAGGAGUAGAUACCCGAGUAGUC
rnacentral:rRNA from 1 species